rnacentral:rRNA from 1 species
CGGGCGUCUUAACAUGCAAGUCGAGCGAACAGAAAAGGAGCUUGCUCCUUUGACGUUAGCGGCGGACGGGUGAGUAACACGUGGGCAACCUACCCUAUAGUUUGGGAUAACUCCGGGAAACCGGGGCUAAUACCGAAUAAUCUCUUUUGCUUCAUGGUGAAAGACUGAAAGACGGUUUCGGCUGUCGCUAUAGGAUGGGCCCGCGGCGCAUUAGCUAGUUGGUGAGGUAACGGCUCACCAAGGCGACGAUGCGUAGCCGACCUGAGAGGGUGAUCGGCCACACUGGGACUGAGACACGGCCCAGACUCCUACGGGAGGCAGCAGUAGGGAUCUUCCACAAUGGGCGAAAGCCUGAUGGAGCAACGCCGCGUGAGUGAAGAAGGUUUUCGGAUCGUAAAACUCUGUUGUAAGGGAAGAACAAGUACAGUAGUAACUGGCUGUACUUGACGGUACUUAUUAGAAAGCCACGGCUAACUAC